AGGUGUCCACCACUGUGCCUGGAUUUCAUUCUCAUUUACUCUGACUUCAUGGGUAAUAUUUCUUUUCUCAAAGAUUCAUUUCGAUUGGCACAUGAAGGGGAUAUCAGGACAACUAACCUGAACAUGACUACCUCAGGGAUUUAAAAAGUUCUCCACCAUCUUUGAUGAAGCACUCAACAAAGAUUUGAGCCUCUUCUGCAGUGAGUACACUGAGAUAAGCUUGCUCCAAUAUGUGGAUUAUCUUUUGUUAGCAGCAAGGGAUGAAAGUGACUGUUUAAGGGCCAUCCAAGGCUUACUGAGAACCUUGGCUCAAUUGGGGUACUGAGUCUCCAAAAAGAAAGCACAAAUCUGUUCUCAAGUUAUUUAUCUAGUAUAUAAACUGAGGGAAGGGAAAAGGCUGCUAUCUCAAGCCUGCAUAGAAGCCAUAAUGAAGAUCUCAAUUCAAACUACUCAAAGGCAAAUUAGGGAAUUCCUAGGGGCAGGUGGGUACUGCUGCCUUUGGAUACCUGAAUUUGCUGAGAUUGCCAAGCCUUUAUAUAUUGCAACUGCAAGGGCCAACUCACCUUUAGUUUGUACUGAGGAAAAUGAAAAAAGGCUCUGGUACAGGCUUGGACCCUAACACUCCCUAAUAUAUCUAAGCCCUUCCAUCUGCACGUUCAUGAGAAAAAGGGCAUUGCAAAAGGGUUCUUACUUAAAAUCUAGGACCAUGUAAAAGACCAAUUGCCUACAUUUCAAAAAGGCUGGAUCCAGUCCUGUUAGGAUGGACCCUUGUUUAUGAACCAUAGUGGCUACUGGACUCCUGGUGAAGAAAACAGACAAGCUUACCCUGAGACAGACUCUAACUAAACCAGUCUUAAUACAACUAACAUCUGGGGCUAUGUCCAUUUGGGUCUCAAUAGAGCCUCCAUUGCAGUGGAGGCUCUAUUGAGUGAUGCCACAAAUCACUGGAUGUCGAAUGCCUGCCUCACUCAAUAUCAAGCUCUCCUCCUUGACAAAGACAGAUUAACCUUCAAUAAAUCCCUGGCAAUAAAUCAAGCAACCCUGCUGCUGGACAACAAGCCAGAGGAGCCAGUUCACGAGUACUCAGAGAUGCUGGAUGUCAUCCAAGGUACUUAGACCUGACUGACGUUCCUCUCACCAUCAGAGACACAGACCUUUACACCGAUGUGAGAAGCUAUGUCUGGAAUGAAAUAAGUUUCAGGCUGCUCAGCCCACUGGACACAGAUUGCCUGAUCAUUCAUUCCAUCCCAGCAAUGCUGUGCUGAUAAGACAUUGAAAAACCAACAGCCUUAAACCCAGGUGGAAAGGCCUUUGCAUGGUCAUUCUCCGCACUCUCUCUGCAGUCAAAGUUGCUGGUAUUCCUGCAUGGAUUCACCAUUUUCAGCUUAAAAAGGCACCUGAAGAACCCAUAGGAGGAGAAUUUAGUGGCCAAAGGUGGAAAGUGACUAAACAUGAAUCCUUUAAAAUUAAAAUUUCAAAGGAUAACUCAGAGUGAAGCCUCUGGCAGGCUGUUCUCACGUGAUAAGAGAAAAGAGCAGUAAGAUCAGAGUGGAGACAACCAGACCAGAUGUUUCUAACCCCAGGGUAAAUGAUGUCAUGGAGAAAUCUGGUGGUAACUAAUAUGGAUUGAAAAGCCCUAAAAUUUAGUAUAAAUAAUAGAGUAAAUAAACAGAAACUCAGCAAGCUGAAACAAAGAUGCACUUGAGCUGGUGAGGCUGAUGAGGACUUGGAAUGACAUCUCAUCACUUGUCAUCAUUUGCAUGAUCCUCACUGCUCUCAAACUCUCCAUUAACAUCUUGACCCUGGUGAGAGCCACAACUUCUCUCUAUGACCCUCUCCUCAACUAGCCAUCAACUCCAUUCAUGGAGAAGUCUGCCUUGUUCCUAAACUGACCACUGUGAUCUGAGUGUGCAUCUGCUGGACUUAAAGCCUAAGGAAUGGGGCUUUUGAACUUAGCACAAAGAGAGAAUUUCUGUCAUUAGCCUGUCAUGAUUAAGUGUAUUUGCAGUAAUAAUAAUUAAUAUAGAUUAAUUAUUUGUUUGCUGUGAAUUAAUUAAUCUAGAAUUAUUUGCUGUGAAUUGAUUAUGUCUAUUGCAGUGCCUAGCAUUGAGGAUUGUCAUUUUCUUCAUUAAGACCUAUAAAGUAAACUUCCAUUUAAUUAUUUGAGUGAAUAGAGCAUUGAAAAGGGCAGAAGAAUGUGGACAUUCUUUAUUUCUUCCUCUUGAUUACAUACAUCACAACUUUUUUUCUCCCCCAAACUACCUAACUAUACUAUCUUAUUUAGUAGAAGAGACUGAUUUUUAAGAUUAUUUUAUUAGUUUUUUAUGUGAUACUGAAGAUCAAACCCACUGCCUCACACAUACUAGGCAAGUAUUCUACUAAGAAACCAGCCUCUCCCUCAGAGAAAAGCCUGUCCAAGGAAGAAGGCAUGACCCUUGUCCUUGGAAAGACCCACAGAGCACUCCUAGGCACAUAUCCACCCUACUGAGUUGUUUAUCUACAAAUAACAGGAGAUAUCUGUGGAGCCAUGUGUCCCUGACUCAGUCUGGCUAGGUGAUUACCUAUAGCAACCCCAUAGCAACCACCAAUCAACAUGAGACAGGGAAAAUACAUGGAAUGCCAGAUGACCCUCCCAGUAGUUUAUGGUGGUUGACAACAUAUUGGGGAAACCAUGUAGUUCAGCAUGCACUCCCCUUGUGGCUUAAACCAAUCAUU